UGCUUAUCUAAGUCUAAGUUACCUUGCUGC
rnacentral:piRNA from 1 species